UACGUAGGUGGCAAGCGUUGUCCGGAUUUACUGGGCGUAAAGGGCGCGUAGGCGGCCUGCUAAGUCGAACGUGAAAUCCCUGGGCUCAACCCAGGAACUGCGUCCGAUACUGGUUGGCUUGAAUCCGGGAGAGGGACGUGGAAUUCCAGGUGUAGCGGUGAAAUGCGUAGAUAUCGGGAGGAACACCGGUGGCGAAGGCGGUUCUCUGGGCCUGUGCUGACGCUGAGGAGCGAAAGCGUGGGGAGCAAACAGG
rnacentral:rRNA from 1 species